rnacentral:rRNA from 1 species
ACCUGGAAACAGAUGCUAAUACCGGACAACAACAGAUGAUGCCUAUCAACUGUUUAAAAGAUGGUUCUGCUAUCACUCUUGGAUGGACCUGCGGUGCAUUAGCUAGUUGGUAGGGUAACGGCCUACCAAGGCGAUGAUGCAUAGCCGAGUUGAGAGACUGAUCGGCCACAUUGGGACUGAGACACGGCCCAAACUCCUACGGGAGGCAGCAGUC